rnacentral:rRNA from 1 species
AGGCUACGGGCUUCAGCGUUACAACGGCGAGUGAAGCGGCAAAAGCUCAAAUUUGAAAUCUGGCACCUUCGGUGUCCGAGUUGUAAUUUGAAGAAGGUAACUUUGGAGUUGGCUCUUGUCUAUGUUCCUUGGAACAGGACGUCACAGAGGGUGAGAAUCCCGUGCGAUGAGAUGCCCAAUUCUAUGUAAAGUGCUUUCGAAGAGUCGAGUUGUUUGGGAAUGCAGCUCUAAGUGGGUGGUAAAUUCCAUCUAAAGCUAAAUAUUGGCGAGAGACCGAUAGCGAACAAGUACAGUGAUGGAAAGAUGAAAAGAACUUUGAAAAGAGAGUGAAAAAGUACGUGAAAUUGUUGAAAGGGAAGGGCUUGAGAUCAGACUUGGUAUUUUGCGAUCCUUUCCUUCUUGGUUGGGUUCCUCGCAGCUUACUGGGCCAGCAUCGGUUUGGAUGGUAGGAUAAUGACUAAGGAAUGUGGCUCUACUUCGGUGGAGUGUUAUAGCCUUGGUUGAUACUGCCUGUCUAGACCGAGGACUGCGUCUUUUGACUAGGAUGUUGGCAUAAUGAUCUUAAGCCACCCGCCCGGAAACACGGGACCAAAAAAAGGGCCUAAAAAUUUUUAACUUAGGAAACGAUCGGGAAUUUAACGUCAAUGAAAUUGAGGUUUCGGUUGAGCUCA